rnacentral:lncRNA from 1 species
ACCCCCACCCUUGCGCCGGCCGGGCCGGUCAGGGGGAACCCGCUCGCUUCGCCCGGCCGCGGGCGGGGAGGGGAGGGGAGCGGCCCGGCCCACUAUGCAAAGCGCCGGGCGCCGCCGCCGCCACCCCGUGGCAAAGGUAAAAGGGUCGGGUUCAGCCGCCGCCGCGGCGCCUCCAUGUCCGCGCGCCAGGCCCGCCCCCUCCGCCGCCGGCCCGAGCCCGCCCGACCCUCUUUCAAUUUUACCUCAGGAUUUGGCGCCAAAGCGGCCUCGAAGCGGGUCCCGUGUCUGCGGCGGGCGGCCCCCGGCGCGGAGGGCAGGGCGCGGGGAGCCCGGGCUCCCGGUGUCGGCGGAUGGCGGGAGCCCGGGGGCCGCGGGCUCGCGGGGCAGCGGGCGAGAGACGAGACGCCGAGAAUAUGCUUUUUGUCUAAUGAUGUUAGAUAAAAAGCAAAUUUGGAGCAGUUUUCUUAUUCGAGUUCAAAAUGGUUCAUAAAGCAGCGAAGACAACUCAAAACAUCAGUAACACAUUUGGCCCAGGAACUGCUAACAAACAUACAGUGCAGUGGUGGCUUAAGAAGUUUUGCAAGGAAGAGAGCCUUGAAGAUGAGGAACGUGAUAUGGGCCAUGGGAAGUUGACAACGACCAAUUGAGAGCAAUCAUUGAACUACAUGAAAAAUUACAGAAGAACUCAGCGUUGACUAUUCUACGGUCAUUAGGGUCGUUCAGCAUUCGAAGCAAAUUGGAAAGGUGAAAAAGCUUGAUAAGUGGGUGCCUCAUGAGCUGAGCGGAAAUCAAAACUAUCGUUUUGAAGUGUAGUCUUCUUUUAUGCUACGCAACAACAAACCAUUUCUCAAUCGGAUUGUGACAUGUAAUGAAAAGUGAAUUUUAUACAACAACCAGCUCAGUGGUUGGACCAAGAGGCAGCUCCAAAGCAGUUCCCAAAGCCAAACUUGCACCAAAAAAAAGGUCAUGGUCACUGUUCGGUGGUCUGCUGCCCAUCUGAUCCACUACAGUUUUCUGAAUCCUGGUGAAACCAUUACAUCUGAGAAGUAUGCUCAGCAAAUUGGUAAGAUGCACCGAAAACUGCAAUACCUGCUGCCUGCAUUGGUCAACAGAAAGGGCCCAAUUCUUCUCCACGACAACACCUGACUGCGUGUCGCACAACCAGUGCUUCAAAAGUUGAAGGAAUUGGGCUACAAAGUUUUGCCUCAUCCACCAUAUUCACCUGACCUUUCGCCAACUGACUACCACUUCUGCUAGCAUCUUGACAACUUUUUGCAGGGAAAACACUUCAGCAUGGUGCAGAAAAUGCUUUCCAAGAGUUCGUCAAAUCCUGAAGCACGGAUUUUUAUGCUACAGGAAUAAACAAACAUUUCUCAUUGGCAAAAAUGUGUUGAUUGUAAUGGUUCCUGUUUUGAUUAAUAGAAUAUGUUUUAGCGUAGUUACAAUGAUUUAAAAUUCGCAGUCUGGAAAUUUAAUUUUUGCAUCAACCUAAUAUUUCUAUGGUAAAUCCUUGCAAACAUGGAAACAAUGCAUUUGGCCCAGUGCUUUGUGGUUGUGUACUCUUUUUCUUUGUUUUUUUAAUAGAUGGCAUUGGCCGGGCAUGGUGGCUCAUGCCUGUAAUCCCAGCAUUUUGGGAAGGUGAGGUGGGUGGAUCACCUGAGGUCAGGAGUUCAAGACCAGCCUGACUAACAUGGUAAAACCCCAUCUCUACUAAAAAUACAAAAAAAUUAGCUAGGCGGGGUGGCGGGCAUCUAAUUCCAGCUACUUCAUGAGGCUGCGACAGGAGAAUCAUUUGAACUCGGGAGGCAGAGGUUGCAGUGAGCCGAGAUCACACCAUUGCACUCCAGCCUGGGCGAUGAGCGAAACUGUCUCAAAAAAAAAAAAAGUUGGGGUCUCGCUGUGUUGACCAGGCUGGUCUCGAACUCCUGGCCUCAAGUGAUCCUCCCAUCUUGGCCUCCCAAAGUGUUAGGAUUACAGGCGUGAGCCACCACACCCUGCCUGGUUGUGUACUCUUUUAAAUACUAAGUUUUUAAUGUUAAAUGCUGCUUUUAGAUACACUGUAAAAAUACACCUAUCAAUGAGUUUUUUUAUUAAAAACAUUGCAAUUGUACUAGACUUUAAAUACUAAGCAAUAAUUCAGGCUUCAAUGUUGGUUUAUAGUUUUCUCAUUUCUUUCAUUUAAUACCUCUGUAAAAUGAAGCAGUUACUUCCAUUUUCCUGAGGUGAGAUAAGUGCCCUGCACAAUGUUAUAGGCCCAGUAAGUGAGACUGGAGCUCUGAUCUAAUCCCUUUGACAUUAAAGUUUGUGCAGUAAACCAGCUAUGUCAGUUUGCCACAUUUGUAAUAGUGUUCAAUAAAUUUUCACUUAAAGGUUUAAUAUUAAAGUAGUAGCAAGAAUUCAUAACCUUAAUUGGCUUUAACAGCUUUUCUUUCCCUGAAAACAGAUGCAUAUGUACACAUGCACACAGAUUGCUUACAAUAUCAGCACGUAAAAGGCCUUUGCACAUUGAAGUCGGCACUGCUUUGGUGCCUUUUUUGUUUUUUGGCUCGGUGUUUUGACUGCAAGUCUUUUUGGAUAGAAUUUUAUAGUUAGAAAGUAGCUAACACUUGGGUUUUAUAGGCACAAAAAACAAGUCUUAUACUAGCUGUACUUUAUUUUUUGAGUUCUUAUUAAUGAGGAACAUCCACUUUUGCAUUGACAGUGAUUUCAAGAUUGCUUUAUCAGCCUUUAAAGGAUUCUUGACUAGUCGUGCACAUCAGAACUGCCAGGUCCCCAGUGGUUCUGAAGCAGUAAGCUUUGGGUGGGCUCUGGCAUCAGCACUUUCACUAAGCUUCACAGAUAAUUCUGAUGCAUACUCCAGGCCUGAACCACUGAUCAAUUUGAAACAUGCAUAACAAAGCAAAAAAAGUUUUGUUUCACCUUUUGAAAUACAGUUAACUCUUUUACCAUGCCAGAGAUCAUUCAGAGAGACAGGUCGUUGCUCCGGAGUGAUACAGAUCUGGCAGUACCCAGCCCUUGUGUGUGUGCGUUAGCUCAGCACCUGCCCACACUGCGAGCCCCCGUAGGAUGUGCCUUGUCCUUCCCUGUUUCAGCACUUAACACACUACCUGCCCCU